rnacentral:lncRNA from 1 species
GUUGCGCGGAGGCUGGAUGACUCACCCGAGAUAUCAGAUGCAUUCCACCAGCCCCCACAAACCAGCGACAGUCAAGCUGGACAAGUGUCACCUGCCUCGUCAGUGAGCUGUCGACGGGUGUCACCUGCCUCGUCAGUGAGCUGUGUUGGGUUGUCUAGUUCCUAAGACUUCUAGACCAGACCUGCUCGACAGGCGUUCUCCUGACACCCUUCCGCACUUGCACCUGGCCUCUUACAUCACAGAGCACCCUUUCCUGAGGCCUUCCUCUGAAUCAAAGAAGCAAGAUGACAAAAGGAACAUCAUCCUUUGGAAAUCGUCGCAAUAAGACGCACAUUCUGUGCCUCCGCUGCUGUGGCUCUAAGGCCUACCACCUUCAGAAGUUGACUUGUGGCAACCGUGGUUGCCCUGCCAAGUGCAACAGACAGGAUAACUGGAGCGCCAAGCUAAGAGAGGAAACGCUACCGGGCUGGGCUGGUGAGGUAUCCAAAGAUUGUCUACCACAGAUUCAGACACGGGUUCCGUGAAGGAACAACACCUAAACCUAAGAGGGCAGCUGUUGCAGCAACCAGUUCUUCUUGAGGAUUCGAUCAGUCAUAAAAUAAAUGUUCUGGUUU